rnacentral:rRNA from 1 species
CCCUUAGAUGUUCUGGGCCGCACGCGCGCUACACUGAUGCGUUCAACAAGUUUCCUUGGCCGAGAGGCCUGGGCAAUCUUCUUAAUAUGUAUCGUGAUAGGGAUAGAUUAUUGCAAUUAUUAAUCUUGAACGAGGAAUUCCUAGUAAACGCAGAUCAUCAAUCUGCAUUGAUUACGUCCCUGCCCUUUGUACACACCGCCCGUCGCACCUACCGAUUGGAUGUUCCGGUGAAGCCUCGGGAUGAGGACUGGUGCCUUUAUUGGCAUGAGUUGUUCAGAACUUGUCUAAACCUUAUCAUCUAGAGGGAGGUGAAGUCGUAACA